CUGACACCUCGCUCAGCCUGGCUCGGGCCUGAGCAGAGGACUCACUGAGCCACCCCGGCCACACUCACUAUUGAGAAGUAAGAGCCCCAGGAAUGACGUUUCUGACAUUACAAAAGAAAGAGCAUGCCAGGCAUUGGCAAGGAGGGAAGCAGCUGCCACUCACUCCCUUGCUUGGGGGAGGGUGAAAUGACCAGCCACUCUGGGAAGCAGUUUCACCAAGUCCUAAAAGGUAGAGCACUGCAGCAGUAACGUGACGCCAUCACAGACAGAUCAGAACGUCCAAACUCCGAAACACCGACAGCACCUCACCUCAUGGCGAGGCCGUGAGCAGCGAGGCGCCCACACUUUGCUGGUGGGAAAGCACAUGGCACCGUCCCUCCGGAGGGAGAGCUCAGAGGUUCCCUGCCAACGGCGCGUCCUCUUAGCAGAUCAUCCAGCUGUCUCAGCACUUGCUUGGCCUUUACCUGCAGGCCCAUGUCUUCAGCUUUGCACAUGAUUGCUAAAGCUCGAACCCCCCAAACAUCCCUCAGCAGGAGAGUGGGUAAGCUGUGGUAGAUCCAGACAAUGGAAAGUCCUUCAGCACCAAAUGAAAUGAGCCAUCGGGCCACGAAAAGAAGGGGAGGAAACUCAAAUGCAUGUUCUCCAGUGGAAGAAAGCAGUCUGGGAAGACUACAUAGCUCGUGAGUCCAGCUACAUGGUGCCCUGUGAGCGCCAAGGUCACGAGGAAAAGGAAAAGCCAAGUAGUUGCCGGGCCAGGCAGCAUGGAGGGUGGGUGAGUAUGAAGGGUGUGACAGCGUCAGCUGUUCUGGGUGAUACUGCAAGUGUGGGUCCAGAUCAUGGUGCCUUAGUCAGCCCCACAGAACCUUCAGCACCAAGAGGGACCCCGCCUGGAAGGCUCAGGGUGACACGGUGCGUCACUGUAGAUGACGGGUCCUGCUCUGCUUGCUACAGUCCUGGGCACUGACCGUAGGGAAGGCCAUGUGAGUGUGGGGUGGGGUGUUGGGCGAGCUCUAUUCUUUCUACUUAGAUUUACUAUGAACCAAAAACUAUCUAAUAACCAAAUCUAAUUUUUUUUUAAAAAAAGUUAAACAUUUACAUCUUUAUGAUCCAGCAGCUCCACUCCUGGGGUCACACAAAAGGCUGGACAUAGAGGUCAGAGCAACUCUGACCGCAAUGGCUAAACACUGCAGACCACCCAGGCACCCUCCAGCAGGUGACCAG
rnacentral:lncRNA from 1 species